UAUGUAGGUGGCAAGCGUUGUCCGGAUUUAUUGGGUUUAAAGGGUGCGUAGGCGGUCAAUUAAGUCAGUGGUGAAAUACGGCAGCUUAACUGUCGUGGUGCCAUUGAUACUGGUUGACUUGAGUACUGAUGAGGUAGGCGGAAUGCACGGUGUAGCGGUGAAAUGCGUAGAGAUCGGGCGGAACACCGAUAGCGAAGGCAGCUUACUAAGGAGUAACUGACGCUGAGGCGCGAAAGUGUGGGGAGCAAACAGG
rnacentral:rRNA from 1 species